GGGCCCGCACAAGCGGUGGAGCAUGUGGUUUAAUUCGAUGCAACGCGAAGAACCUUACCUACUCUUGACAUCCUGCGAAUUUGGUAGAGAUACCUUAGUGCCUUCGGGAACGCAGAGACAGGUGCUGCAUGGCUGUCGUCAGCUCGUGUUGUGAAAUGUUGGGUUAAGUCCCGUAACGAGCGCAACCCCUUGUCCUUAUUUUGCCAGCGCGUAAUGGCGGGAACUCUAAGGAGACUGCCGUGACAAACCGGAGGAAGGUGGGACGACGUCAAGUCAUCAUGGCCCUUACGAGUAGGGCUACACACGUGCUACAAUGGUCGGUACAAAGGGUUGCCAACUCGCGAGAGUGAGC
rnacentral:rRNA from 1 species